UACGUAGGGUGCGAGCGUUGUCCGGAAUUAUUGGGCGUAAAGAGCUCGUAGGCGGUUUGUCGCGUCGGCCGUGAAAACUUGGGGCUUAACCCCGAGCCUGCGGUCGAUACGGCAGACUUGAGUUCGGCAGGGAGACUGGAAUUCUGGUGUAGCGGUGAAAUGCGCAGAUAUCAGGAGGAACACCGGUGGCGAAGGCGGGUCUCUGGGCCGAUACUGACGCUGAGGAGCGAAAGCGUGGGGAGCGAACAG
rnacentral:rRNA from 1 species